GGCGCUAUAGUGUAGUGGUUAUCACUUGGGAUUCUGACUAUCACGUGACAUCGAAAUCACGUAAUCAUUGUUCCCAAAACCCAGGUUCGAGCCCUGGUAGCGCCU
rfam:Postia placenta Mad-698-R POSPLscaffold_45_Cont2802, whole genome shotgun sequence.